AAGCAGAGCCUGGUGACAGAGGAUUAGAGGACACACUGCCUGCACUGGAAAGGGCCUGGGUGGGAAGACCCAAAGAGCCUCAUCCAGUCCAGUUUAAUGGAAACGCCCUGGAAACUGGAAAUGACACCAGAGGCAGGAGGAUCCCAACAGGAGGCCAGUGCUGCCACUCAUCCAGGGAUCUAAAUGCUGUGGGAUAAUUUUGGGUUUUGGAGAGAUGCUGAGCUUCACACAAAGCACUGGGUUCUUCCCAGGGAAGCUAACACUUUAUGCAGCACAAGGGACCUGUGGAUGGGGUCAGCAGCCGUGCUGAAGCAAGACAUGGUGUGAUGGUUUUCACCCAAAUGGACUUUAACGACACCGAGCGUGAAGGAAAAGCUGCCUGGUGUGGGGAAAAGUGCCUGGAAACAGAGCAGCAUCUCUUCAC